AGAGGAAUAGCUGGGUCAAAUGGUCGUUCCAUUCCCAAUUUUCUAAGAAAUCUCCAUACUGCUUUCCUUAUUGGCUGCACCAGUUUGCAGUCCCACCAGCAAU
rnacentral:pre_miRNA from 1 species